GUUUGCUGGCCCAGCAAGGGCUGCCUCUGGCUGCCAAUCACAGCCACCCUGAAGUCUCUAUGUACUCUUGCCACCAGUGGGAGGAGCUGCCCAGGGCCAGGCAACAGCGACAGUGUGAAACCACGAUGGAAUUACAGCACAUAACAUCAAACCUGAUGCACAGUGGUGAACCGAGCCUGCGAUGCACAUACAAACUGGUUAGAUCUGGCGAGCGAAUGGGGCAGCUCAAGGCUGCAACACACACCUAUCUGCCAUACGCACGUGAGGACACAGCCAGAGGUGGGCAGUCUGCAACCUGGAAGAGGGCCUCCACCAGAACCCAACCGUGCUGGCCCUCUGAUCUUGGACUUCCAGCUUCCAGA